AUUUAUCAAGACGGCGAAGUGUGGAUGUGAACACAUUGAUCCCCUCAUCAGCAGCAUUUGUAAAUCCAGAGGGGGAUGAAAACCAAGAUGAUGCAGAAGAGAGCACCGCACAAACCUCAGCAGCUCAGGGAUAUUUUUCAAGACGACCAAGUGUGGAUGUGGACACAUUGAGACCAUCUGCAGCAGCAUUUGUAAAUCCACAGGAGGACAAAAACCAAAGAGUUGCAGCAGAGAGCUCUGCACCAGCUUCAGCAGCUCAGAAAUAUUCGGCUGGAUCUCCUGACCAGGAAUGGUCAGAAUUGAACUCUUCAUCAAAGACAAGUUCAGAUCGAGAAAGCACUGCAGAUGCGAGUGGAGAUCUCAGCAGUGAAAACACAACUGAUGAAAUUUACAAUAAACAUGAGG